rnacentral:miRNA from 1 species
AACAACCUCAUCGACGGAAGGAAUCCCUUCCAAUCAAUGAGGUAUAACAAUCUCAUUGACCGGAAGGGAUUCCUUCCGGUCAAUGAGGUUGUU